GACAGAGGGUGCGAACGUUGUUCGGAAUUACUGGGCGUAAAGCGUGUGUAGGCGGCCACGUAAGUCGGAUGUGAAAGCCCCAGGCUCAACCUGGGAAGUGCACUCGAUACUGCGUGGCUUGAGUAUCGGAGAGGUUGGUGGAAUUCUCGGUGUAGAGGUGAAAUUCGUAGAUAUCUGGAGGAACACCGGUGGCGAAGGCGACGUCCUGGACCGGUAUUGACGCUGAGGCGCGAAAGCCAGGGGAGCAAACGGG
rnacentral:rRNA from 1 species